UGGGGAAUCUUAGACAAUGGGCGCAAGCCUGAUCUAGCGAUGCCGCGUGAGUGACGAAGGUCUUAGGAUCGUAAAGCUCUUUCGCCAGGGAUGAUGAUGACAGUACCUGGUAAAGAAACCCCGGCUAACUCCGUGCCAGCAGCCGCGGUAAUACGGAGGGGGUUAGCGUUGUUCGGAAUUACUGGGCGUAAAGCGCACGUAGGCGGACUAUUAAGUCAGAGGUGAAAUCCCGGGGCUCAACCCCGGAACUGCCUUUGAUACUGGUAGUCUUGAGUUCGAGAGAGGUGAGUGGAAUUCCGAGUGUAGAGGUGAAAUGCGUAGAGAUCGGCAGGAACACCCAGGGGGAAGCCAGCAUACUGGACAGGUCCUGACACUCAGGUGCGACAGCGUGGGGAGCGAACCGGAUUAGAUACCCGCGUAGUCC
rnacentral:rRNA from 1 species